rnacentral:rRNA from 1 species
ACGGUGAAGAUGCCGUUUACCCGCAACGGGACGGAAAGACCCCGUGAACCUUUACUAUAGCUUCACAUUGGUAUUGGGUAAAUGAUGUGUAGGAUAGGAGGGAGACUAUGAAUUGGCGUCGCCAGGCGUUGAGGAGUCAUUGGUGAAAUACCUCCCUUUGUUUAUCUGAUGCCUAAUCUGGAGACAGAGACAGUGUGUGGUGGGUAGUUUGACUGGGGUGGUCGCCUCCAAAAGCGUAACGGAGGCUUUCAAAGGUACCCUCAGCAUGUUUGGUAAUCAUGCGAAGAGCGCAAUAGCAUAAGGGUGCUUGACUGUGAGGCCUACAAGCCGAUCAGGUAGGAAACUAGGAUAUAGUGAUCCGGCGGUUCUGUAUGGAAGGGCCGUCGCUCAAAGGAUAAAAGGUACGCCGG